rnacentral:rRNA from 1 species
AUUGAACGCUGGCGGCAUGCCUUACACAUGCAAGUCGAACGGUAACGGGCCUUCGGGUGCCGACGAGUGGCGAACGGGUGAGUAAUACAUCGGAACGUGCCCGAUCGUGGGGGAUAACGAAGCGAAAGCUUUGCUAAUACCGCAUACGAUCUACGGAUGAAAGCAGGGGACCGCAAGGCCUUGCGCGAACGGAGCGGCCGAUGGCAGAUUAGGUAGUUGGUGGGAUAAAAGCUUACCAAGCCGACGAUCUGUAGCUGGUCUGAGAGGACGACCAGCCACACUGGGACUGAGACACGGCCCAGACUCCUACGGGAGGCAGCAGUGGGGAAUUUUGGACAAUGGGCGAAAGCCUGAUCCAGCCAUGCCGCGUGCAGGAUGAAGGCCUUCGGGUUGUAAACUGCUUUUGUACGGAACGAAAAGACUCUGGUUAAUACCUGGGGUCCAUGACGGUACCGUAAGAAUAAGCACCGGCUAACUACGUG